UACGUAGGGUGCAAGCGUUUGUCCGGAAUUAUUGGGCGUAAAGAGCUCGUAGGCGGUUUGUCGCGUCUGCUGUGAAAACUGGAGGCUCAACCUCCAGCCUGCAGUGGGUACGGGCAGACUAGAGUGCGGUAGGGGAGAUUGGAAUUCCUGGUGUAGCGGUGAAAUGCGCAGAUAUCUGGAGGAACACCGGUGGCGAAGGCGGCAUCCUGGACCGAUACUGACGUG
rnacentral:rRNA from 1 species